rnacentral:rRNA from 1 species
AUGUGUUCUAGCAUACUUUAUAUAGACUGUUUACACAGCUCAUACUCUUCAUUUUGGGGGCCAAAAGGAGGAUGGAGCUCAUCAAACUAUUUAGCUGAGCAUAGUCAGUUUGCUCCUAAGCUACGUGGUUCUUCAACUACAAAUUUAGUUUGGUUUCCUUGUUUAUCUGCCUGUAUGGUCGUCUUCUGUGGUCAGCAUUGUGGACACAAGUGGCAACGUUAUCCAUUGCAGUUUGGAAAAGAUACAUGCCAAGGCAAAGGCAGAAAAGAAAAAGACACGAAGGCGUGGCAAGGUUAUCAAGGAGUAUACCUGGAAGUAUCCUAG